rnacentral:rRNA from 1 species
ACUCCUACGGGAGGCAGCAGUGGGGAAUAUUGCACAAUGGGCGCAAGCCUGAUGCAGCCAUGCCGCGUGUAUGGAGAAGGCCUUCGGGUUGUAAAGUACUUUCAGCGGGGAGGAAGGCAAUACGGUUAAUAACCGUGUUGAUUGACGUUACCCGCAGAAGAAGCACCGGCUAACUCCGUGCCAGCAGCCGCGGUAAUACGGAGGGUGCAAGCGUUAAUCGGAAUUACUGGGCGUAAAGCGCACGCAGGCGGUCUGUCAAGUCGGAUGUGAAAUCCCCGGGCUCAACCUGGGAACUGCAUUCGAAACUGGCAGGCUUGAGUCUUGUAGAGGGGGGUAGAAUUCCAGGUGUAGCGGUGAAAUGCGUAGAGAUCUGGAGGAAUACCGGUGGCGAAGGCGGCCCCCUGGACAAAGACUGACGCUCAGGUGCGAAAGCGUGGGGAGCAAACAGGAUUAGAAACCCCAGUAGUCCCA